UUCGUGCUAGAGACGGAGUUUUAAAGAAGGAAGAUCAGAACCGGUCACCGACUAAACGAAAACAGUGCCGUUAAUGGCGCCACCACGACCUCGGUUCCUUUAAUGAGUGACACGCUACUUCCAGGCAGUGGGCGUGUCCACGUGGGGUAUCAGGAUCCUUCUAGAAGCAGCACACCUUCCACGUCUGACUGCAGUGGGGACGUGGUGUGACCCCCGUGUCUGACUGCAGUGGGGACGUGGUGUGACCCCCGUGUCUGACUGGCAGUGGGGACGUGGUGUGACCCCCGUGUCUGACUGGCAGUGGGGACGUGGUGUGACCCCCGUGUCUGACUGCAGUGGGGACGUGGUGUGACCCCCGUGUCUGACUGCAGUGAGGACGUGGUGUGACCCCCGUGUCUGACUGCAGUGGGGACGUGGUGUGACCCCCGUGUCUGACUGCAGUGGGGACGUGGUGUGACCCCCGUGUCUGACUGCAGUGGGGACGUGGUGUGACCCCCGUGUCUGACUGCAGUGGGGACGUGGUGUGACCCCCGUGUCUGACUGCAGUGAGGACGUGGUGUGACCCCCGUGUCUGACUGCAGUGGGGACGUGGUGUGACCCCCGUGUCUGACUGCAGUGGGGACACGGUAUGACACCCUGUGUGUCUUCAGCCUGCUCUGGCAAUCUGGUUGCAUGAAAGGUCAGGAAUUGGCUAACAUAAGACCCAGGUUCACUCGGCUUGCCACAGGCCCAAAAGACUUCAAAGUAAACCAAGAAGGUUUCCAGAACCUAACAGCUGGCAAAAGCCAAAUCAGCCUGGAAGCUGCAGCACGGAACCCACGCCAGCCUCCCGCUUAGCGCUCCUGGGCAGUGCCUGCGGUGCCCGGCCCCGGCCCCUGUCGGGAGGAGGACACGGUCUCUUGGAGGGACAGGAUGACGGGUCGCAUUCCUGCUUCUCAAGGUGGGGUCUGAUGCCAACACGGCAGGGGGCAAGAGCACAGACCUGGAGAAACGGAGGCUUUCUCUGGCCUGUACUUGGGGUCCAAGGACCAAAUGGCUCUCCAUGUUCAUACGUGGCUCUAACGCAGACUAACUCAAGGCACUUCAUGAACCGGAAGCAAAUUCACUCCUUCAGUGUGUGCUUCAGGGCACGAUGCCGACUCACAGCUGUCGGGGGAACACCCUCUUUGCUAAGGUCGCGUUAUAGCCGGGGCCGUGAGAGCCGAGACUCCGUGCCCAACUCUGUUUGGACGCCGUCCCCUCCGUCUCCUGGGGCAGCAGGGAGAUCCAGGGGGCUGAGAUUGCUGUGCCAAGGGGACCAGGCCCCAGGCGCUGCCAGCUCUGUGGCUGAGUGGAGCCCGGACUGAGGCAGUCUGGGGGCUCCUUGUGGGCCCAGCUCAGCCCCAACCCUCCUGGCUCAGUUAGGGGUAUGGCCCGGCCCUCUGUGGCUCUUCCGGCAAGAGCGCCUCAGUGUGCCGAGUGGCCAGCUUAGUGGACUUAGCGGCCUUCAGCAGGGUCUCUCCCGCCGUCGGCUCACCGUCUUUCGGGUGUAUAGCUCGUUCCGGAUCCCUCCUGGAAUCUGGCCAUCGCAGGGACCCUGCCCUUCUCUCCUCCAGCUAAAUGACCCAAUUCCUUCAGCCUGGCACCGUACGUCCUAAAGGAAGCUGCAGAGGAACUGGCUGGCCGGGGACUGUUCCUUCCAUGCUAACGGGUGGACACGGCUCUGGGACAGCCCUCGCUAGAACGGGUGCCUGCAUUCACCCCACACACGGGGCCGGGUGUUUGGAGCGAUGGGUAAAAAAGCUGCCACUCAGGACCUCCGCGUCCCAUUCUGGACUCUGGCUGCGUGCUGGCUCCUGCGCUCUGCUUCUGAGAGGCAGCAGGAGAUGGCACAAAUACCGGGUCUCUGCCCCCCACCUGGAGAGCUGGACUGAAUUCCAGGCACCGGGCUGUGGCCCGGCCCAGCCCUGUUGGGGACAUUUUGGGGACUGAACCAACAGAUGGAAGACAUCUCUGUUUCUCUGCCUAUCAAGUAAAAUGAAAAUCAACAAAUACACUCUUCACAAAACAGAAUCAGGAGUACUGCAGUUGAACAUGUGCAUAGCUUCAAUAGGUAUGCACACUUAGCACUUUUUCCUCGUAAGAGCUGAAUGGGAAAAAAUGAUGAGAGCCUUUAAAAAAACUGUGGCUAAACCCCCAGUCAAGAGUGGAGAUUUUGAUAAAGUCUAGUUCAACUGUUUCCAGAUUUUAGAAAAACAAAAACAAAAA